GGCUCUGAGGUGUAAAUCAUAUUGAAUUGCAAAUUCAAAGAAGCAGCUUCAAUUCUGCCGGGGCCU
rnacentral:tRNA from 1 species